rnacentral:lncRNA from 1 species
ACAAUGGGGGCCCAAGGUGAGAUGAAGCUGUAGUCUCACUGGAAGGACUAGAGGUUAGAGGAGACCCCCCCGAAACAAAAAACAGCAUAUUGACGC